CCUCCUGAGUGUUGGCAUUAAAGGCGUGCACCACCACCGCCCGGCUUAUAGAAGUAAUUAUUAUGUUGGCUACCCAGCUACUUUUUAAUAUGCAGAAUCACUUAUAACAGUCGGCACUCUCCACAGACACCUGACAGAGCACAGAACAAGGUGGCAAUAUGGAGAGGGAGGAAGGGAGGUAGAAGCCAGAUUUCUCCAAGACUAUAAAUCAAGAGGCCUGGAGGGAGGAAAGGGAAGGGGGAACUGAUGGAACUAUAUUAUAAUCUCAAAAUACAAACUAAAUUACAAUAAUUUUAAAAGCACAUCUUUAACAUUAAAAAUAUAAAGAGUAAAGUCAACUAUUUGAAAACUUCAUGCUUCCUUAACUUGGUUACCUACAGCUGAGUUCACUGACAGACUGUCCGUCCUCUUCGCCUUGCCAAAGGAAACAGCCACAAUCAGUGAACAUUAGCAGCUAGAGCAUUAUAACAGCUACACUGGAGUGUAAACGUGGGGCCCUGGCUCACAUAAACUAAUGCUUAAAAAAGAAAAGAAAAAUAAGUAUAACUAAUUCAAAGAAACUUAAACAGAAUGGAUAUUUGAUUGUAUUCCUUUAUUUAUUUUUGUUCUUUAUUUAUUUACUUUUGAGAUAGGAUCUCUCUGUGCAGUCCUGGCUGUCCUGGAACUCACUUUUAGACCAGGCUGGCCUCAAACUCACAGGAAUCUGCCUGCCUCUCAGAUACUUUUCAAAGUAUGGCAAUAAUUUUUCGAUGUGGCAUCAGUACAUUUUAAAGAGUCCUUCAGCUGGUAUUUGAGACUGGAGGGAGACAGAGGAAAGACGCUGUGUUCAUCGCUGACGCCGAGUCAUUGGUACGUGAUGAUUCACUAUGCAAAUGCUUCUCCUUUGAUACACUUGAAAUGUUCCCCAAAUUUCAAGCAUAUGCCAAAUUUGUCUGAAAUUGUUAAACUGAAGAGAAAGAAAUACCAGUUCUCCUGGUCUAUGCUUGCUGCAGGUCCACAAAGGUUGGUGACAUUUGCCUCUGCCGCCAUUGCUGUUCACAGGGGUCACUGACGACGCCUCCUAUUAAACCCGAAUCGGAGGGUCCCAGGACUAGGGCUCAAAGCAAAGAAACUGGUCAUUGUUGAGAGCUCCAGAAACCUAAUCAUGGACUCGUGCCCACGGUGAGAACAAGGCUGAGAUUCACACUGCCUUCCCCAGCCAUCAGUGCCCCAGAACCUCACACACCCAAGUGUCCUGCUCAGCAGCCCUCCUGUGGUUUCCUAGCCCCUCAUCUCCACCAUCUGCCUCUUCAGUCAAAAGAACAUCUGAAUUCUAGCCCCGGGGAACCCAUUCACUGAGACUGACCCAUGCUUCUACUUCUCUUGUGGUAUGUCUAACUUUGGAUUAAAACAAAUGAAGCCAAA